GUGUACGGCCAUGCUACCCUGAACAAGCCCAAUCUCGUCUGAUCUUAGAAGCUAAGCAGGGUUGGGCCUGAUUAGUAUUUGGAUGGGAGACUACCUAGGACAACCAGGUGCUGUAGGUA
rnacentral:rRNA from 1 species